CAUGAUCCGCUGGGCCCCCAGCGCAUCUCCUGGAAGAGCCCACUCACCCUGGACGAGCUCUUCGGUAGCCUCAGACCGUCCUUGAAGAGGAUGACUGAGACAUUAUGGGCCACGCGCUGUGUGUCUGCUCUCGGGGAACUGUCAUCAUUGACAAUAAGCGCUACCUCUUCAUCCAGAAACUGGGGGAGGGAGAGGUACGCUGUGGAAUGAGAUAGAAAGGCUGAAGGACAAAGGCAACUUCCUGACCGAGGAUCAAAUCCUUUGGCUGCUGCUGGGGAUCUGCAGAGGCCUUGAGGCCAUUCAUGCCAAGGGUUAUGCCCACAGAGACUUGAAGCCCACCAAUAUAUUGCUUGGAGAUGAGGGGCAGCCAGUUUUAAUGGACUUGGGUUCCAUGAAUCAAGCAUGCAUCCAUGUGGAGGGCUCCCGCCAGGCUCUGACCCUGCA
rnacentral:lncRNA from 1 species